AGGAUGGUCACCUUCUCUUCCCACUCACCGUCUUCUUCCCCUCUCUUCUCCUGGGGAACAGUUGUGGAAUGAGUGUGGAUUUUUGUUGGAUUUGAUUUAGAUGCUUUCAGAAGUAUGGAGCUAAAUGCAGAGCCCUGGAGAUGCCCAGAAGCACACACGGGUGACCAUUGCUUGCUGAAGAUGACAAUGCCAGUCUGUGUGGCUUCUGAACUCUGACAUUAUGUCCCCAAACUAUAACCUUACAUUAAAGAGUACACGUGGGAUGCUUAGGAACAAGUGAUUCUAGAGCACCAGCCCCCAGCACCUGGCAAAGUGUCCCUCUGCAAACCCAGGCUUUCUUUUUAUCUUCCUCACAAACGAAUCCGAGGUGUUAGUGUUUCUUCAGCCACCGAGCAGAAUGUCAGAGCCUGAAGAUUCAGUCAGCUGAGGCUGAGCCCUCACGCUUACCUCUGCCAGUAUCAGUUCAUUAUAUCGGACAGUUGGAUUAUUCCUCUCUUCUAUAUAACAACAGGCUUAGUUACACCCAGGUGAUUUAUUCCCAUUUCCUGAUUGCCUCCUGUAUACUAGGAACUACAAUAAGUAUAAAGAAUGACCACGGAAGGCAGAGCCUCAGCCUUAUGAUGUUCGCGGGCAGAGUAAGAAGAUGAGCAGAUAACAACACAAACCCGUUCAGUGAGUUUUGUGGGCUUAGAGAAACUGUUUUGGAGAGAUAAGUGCCUUUGGCUUGUGUGCUCUGGUGCAUGCGGAGGCCUGGGCUGACACAGGGAGCCUCCCUUAAUUACUCUUUUGACUUCAUCAUCAAGGCAGGAUCUCUUUUAACCAGCUUGUGUCAAGGGCCCCGCUACCUCCCCCUUCUACGGCUGGAAUUGUAGGUGAGCUGCUAUUCCCACCUGGGAUUCAUGGGAUGUCGGGAUCGGAAUUCAUAUCCUCUUACUUACCCAGGAUGUGCUUCAACCAUUGAGCCAUCUUCUCAGCCUGUGAGAACUGUGUGAAUAGUCUUCCCAGUUCUCCCAGGAAAACGGAGCAAGUGGUGUUUCAAUCUCUAGUGCCAGUAUGGACACACACGUACACACGUAUGUACAUUCUUGAUAUACACGUACACACGUAUGUACAUUCUUUUGGUUUUCAUUUUGUAGCAUGAUUUUUCCUAUAGAGACAUUACCCAUCGCUGCUUCUGCAAACCUCAUUAUCUCCACUUCAUGAGUGAGAAAGAUGAGCAAGUCCCUCCUUGGCUGCUAAGUGAUGGAGCCUGGCUCUAAACCUUGGCUGACUGUGGAUGUCAGACUCUGAAUAAGCCAAAUCCUAAAACAUUGUUUCUUUGACAUGCUGCUGCAGCUGGGACAUGGGCUUCUGCAGAGGACAUAAAUGCUCAUCUGGCCUGUGUACCAAUUAGCCAAAGAGCACAGGAGCUAUUCUGCUGGGCAGACUCCAUGCUCCAACCUGCCCAGCAUCGUGUUGACAACUAAGGCCUGAAGGGAUUCACCAGGGAAAGACAUAGUUUUCCUCUCUGACAUUAACCUUAAAGGUUAGGUAUACUCUGAGUAGCCAUUUAUGGCUCUGACAUUCAUAAAUUUGGUCAAAACCUUUAUGAAUCCAUUUACAUUCCUCGCCUGUACCUCUUUUGUGGUAAUGAGCUCCACACGUUUAUUAUUUUCUGUGUGAAGUCAGGCUUCACUUUAUUUGUCCUCGACCCCCUGCACUCGGGUUUGGGGGGAUUCUGACUCUUCCUGGAAGGGACUGAGCAUUCUGAUGAUUGCUCCCACUAUGUGUGCACAAGCUCCAGAUUCACCACGUGUAGUUUGUUUUGGCUUGAGAAAGAGUAAAUGAAAUUGCGCGUCACA
rnacentral:lncRNA from 1 species